GAUCCUGGCUCAGGAUGAACGCUAGCUACAGGCUUAACACAUGCAAGUCGAGGGGCAGCGGGAUUGAAGCUUGCUUCAAUUGCCGGCGACCGGCGCACGGGUGAGUAACGCGUAUCCAACCUUCCGUACACUCAGGGGUAGCCUUUCGAAAGAAAGAUUAAUACCUGAGUGGUAUGAUGAGAUUGCAUGAUAUCAUCAUUAAAGAUUUAUCGGUGUACGAUGGGGAUGCG
rnacentral:rRNA from 1 species